rnacentral:rRNA from 1 species
UACGUAGGGACCGAGCGUUGUCCGGAAUCAUUGGGCGUAAAGGGCGUGUAGGCGGCCCUUUAAGUCCUCCGUGAAAUCUUGCGGCUCAACCGCAAGCGGUCGUGGGAAACUGGGUGGCUAGAGUGCGGGAGAGGAGAGUGGAAUUCCUGGUGUAGCGGUGGAAUGCGCAGAUAUCAGGAAGAACACCCGUGGCGAAGGCGGCUCUCUGGAACGCAACUGACGCUGAGACGCGAAAGCGUGGGGAGCAAACAGG